rnacentral:rRNA from 1 species
CGCGUAGGCGGUUUGAUCAGUCGGAUGUGAAAGCCCCGGGCUUAACCUGGGAAUUGCAUUCGAUACUGUCAAGCUAGAGUAUGGUAGAGGGAAGUGGAAUUCCAGGUGUAGCGGUGAAAUGCGUAGAUAUCUGGAAGAACACCAGUGGCGAAGACGGCUUCCUGGACCAAUACUGACGCUGAGGUGCGAAAGCGUGGGGAGCGAACA